rnacentral:rRNA from 1 species
UCGCCUCUUGAUAAACUAUAAGAGGUCCAGCCUGCCCAGUGACAAAAUUUAACGGCCGCGGUACCCUAACCGUGCGAAGGUAGCAUAAUCACUUGUUCUUUAAAUAAGGACUAGUAUCAAUGGCAUCACGAGGGUUACACUGUCUCCUCUCCCUAAUCAGUGAACCUGAUCUCCCCGUGAAGAAGCGGGAAUCACUCUAUAAGACGAGAAGACCCCAUGGAGCUUUAAACUUAACUGCAACCCAAUAACAUAAACCCCCAAAAUCAAUAAAGUUAUGCAUGUUAGUUUUAGGUUGGGGUGACCGAGGAGUAAAAAUCAACCUCCAUGACGAAAAGAACUAAAUCUUUACCCAAGAAAUACAUUUCUAAGGAUUAGAAUACUAACGAAUAUGACCCGAUAAUCGAUCAACGAACCAAGUUACCCUGGGGAUAACAGCGCAAUCUACUUCGAGAGCUCAUAUCGACAAGUAGGCUUACGACCUCGAUGUUGGAUCAGGGUAUCCCAGUGGUGCAGUCGCUACUAAAGGU